rnacentral:rRNA from 1 species
GACGAACGCUGGCGGCGUGCCUAAUACAUGCAAGUCGAACGCAGUGGGGACGGGUGAGUAACACGUGGGUAACCUCCCCAUCAGAGGGGAUAACACUUGGAAACAGGUGAUACACCGAUAAUGAUGGAUGGACCCGUGGUGCAUUAGCCAGUUGGUGCGGUAACGGCUCACCAAGGCCACGAUGCAUAGCCGACCUGGGAGGGGGAUCGGCCACACUGGGACUGAGACACGGCCCAGACUCCUACGGUAGGCAGCCGUAUGGAAUCGUCGUCAAUGGACGAAAGUCUGACCGAGCAACGCCGCGUGAGUGAAGAAGGUUUUCGGAUCGUAAAACUCUGUUGUUAGAGAAGCGGUAUCUAACCAGAAAGCCACGGCUAACUACGUGCCAGCAGCCGCGGUAAUUC